UACGUAGGGUGCGAGCGUUGUCCGGAUUUACUGGGCGUAAAGCGCACGUAGGCGGAUCGUUAAGUCGGGGGUGAAAUCCUGGAGCUCAACUCCAGAACUGCCUUUGAUACUGAGGAUCUUGAGUUCGGGAGAGGUGAGUGGAACUGCGAGUGUAGAGGUGAAAUUCGUAGAUAUUCGCAAGAACACCAGUGGCGAAGGCGGCUCACUGGCCCGAUACUGACGCUGAGGCACGAAAGCGUGGGGAGCAAACAGG
rnacentral:rRNA from 1 species